rnacentral:rRNA from 1 species
UGGGGAAUCUUCCGCAAUGGACGAAAGUCUGACGGAGCAACGCCGCGUGAGUGAAGAAGGUUUUCGGAUCGUAAACUCUGUCUUUUGGGGCGAACGUGAGUAUGGUGAACAAUCAUAGUCAGUGACGGUACCAAAGGAGGAAGCCACGGCUAACUACGUGCCAGCAGCCGCGGUAAUACGUAGGUGGCAAGCGUUGUCCGGAAUUAUUGGGCGUAAAGAGCGCGUAGGCGGGAUAGUCAGUCUGUUGUAAAAGUGCGGGGCUCAACCCCGUGAUGGCAAUGGAAACAGCUAUUCUUGAGUGCAGGAGAGGAAAGUGGAAUUCCCAGUGUAGCGGUGAAAUGCGUAGAUAUUGGGAGGAACACCAGUGGCGAAGGCGACUUUCUGGACUGUGUCUGACGCUGAGGCGCGAAAGCCAGGGGAGCGAACGGGAUUAGAUACCCCGGUAGUCCUGGCCGUAAACGAUGGGUACUAGGUGUGGGAGGUAUCGACCCCUUCCGUGCCGGAGUUAACGCAAUAAGUACCCCCGCCUGGGGAGUACGGUCGCAAGACUGAAACUCAAAGGAAUUGACGGGGUCAUAGCUGUUUCCUG